GAUGAACGCUGGCGGCGUGCCUAAUACAUGCAAGUCGAGCGAACAGACGAGGAGCUUGCUCCUUCGACGUUAGCGGCGGACGGGUGAGUAACACGUAGGUAACCUACCUAUAAGACUGGGAUAACUUCGGGAAACCGGAGCUAAUACCGGAUAAUAUUUCGAACCGCAUGGUUCGAUAGUGAAAGAUGGCUUUGCUAUCACUUAUAGAUGGACCUGCGCCGUAUUAGCUAGUUGGUAAGGUAACGGCUUACCAAGGCAACGAUACGUAGCCGACCUGAGAGGGUGAUCGGCCACACUGGAACUGAGACACGGACCAGACUCCUACGGGAGGCAGCAGUAGGGAAUCUUCCGCAAUGGGCGAAAGCCUGACGGAGCAACGCCGCGUGAGUGAUGAAGGUCUUCGGAUCGUAAAACUCUGUUAUUAGGGAAGAACAAACGUGUAAGUAACUGUGCACGUCUUGACGGUACCUAAUCAGAAAGCCACGGCUAACUACGUG
rnacentral:rRNA from 1 species